AUUACUCCGUAUUAUUUUUAUGAAGCGGGCUACGGCGGUCAAAAGCCAGCCUGACUCCGUAUUAUUUUGAGAUUUUCGACGAUGCCCAAGUGAAACCACAAAGUCAAAUUUAUUUGUUUUCAUCGGUCGACGUCCAAUUAGUUGGUAAGCACGAGUGCACGACCAACCUUUUGCAAAAAUUUGAGGCGUCAGUUUCUGCUGCUCACAUUCUCUUCACCGGACCUGCCGUUCUCUCUCGUGUCUUCCGGAGCCUUGUUGCUUGGCCAGGUGCCGUGCGUUUCACCUGCUCUCCUUCCUCCUCCCUCCGCCGGAAACGACGGACGGAGUGUGAGGGGUAAGGGAGUAUGUGCGCUCUCUGUUGCCUAUAGUCGUAGGUUUCUUUUUGUUGCUUCGGCAGCUAUUUUUCUUGGGGAGUUGUUGGCUACUUCCAUGGCGAGGUCGAUUCGAGCCAUUUGCUGGCUGUCGUCAACAGGAAUCCAUGAGAUCUGCCAAGUCUAGACCCAGCCGUCUCUUCCCUUCUUCUUUUUUUCUCCUUCAAUAAAGCCAGCGUUUUCCUGUCCACCCUCCGAUUCAAUGCCAACAUGAGUGUGGCGGUGGUGUUGAGGUCGCCGGCCAACGAAGAUGUGGUGGUGCUGAAUCUUUUUUUUUUUUUCGGAAAAGAAGAAGUGAUAUUAAGCUCCGUUCUUACAGAAAGACCCAGCACAAAGAAGAAAUUACAUCGAAGUCCUCUGGAUCCCGCCGAAGAAGACGACCCAGGACGAGCCGGCGGCGCAUGCCGCCGCUGCUGCACCCCCUGAUGGCUUGGAUCAGGUGCAGCCCCUCCGCGGACGGGUAGUCGCCGGUCACCGGCCCCGUAGAGCCUACACCCUGAGCCGCCAUCUUCAACGCGAAGCCGAACACCACCGCCCCCUCCUUAUUCGACGAGUUCCGGACCGACCGCCACGCCGGAUCUGGCGAGGGCUUGACAAACUCGACGGAUCCGAAGACCCGUGAGCUCGGGGAAGACGAAGACUCCACGCGAAGCUCCGAAGAGCGCCGCCGUCGAAGGGAACGAGCUUCGCCACAAAACGCCGCGCCGACCGCACCACCGCCUCCUCUGCGCCGCCGGCAAGCAACCUAGACAACCCUACACUAAAUACAAGCCGUGGAUCGACGAUUCCCCGGCCUCCCGCCGCCGGAGACCGAGGGAUCGACGACCCAACGGCGAGCGAGGUGGGUCUCCGGGAAGGGUUCAGAAAUUUCGCCUCUCCCUACUGUAGCGGGGGAAAGGGGAACGACCAAGCUUCGUUUGUCUGGUGGUUCUGAAUCUGGUAGCAGGAGUGGCGGCUGUGCCUAGAUCUGCUGCGGACCACCGCCGUGCGGUGCGUGCAGCUUCUAUCCCGCCACCGGCCGUCGACUGCUUUGGCUUCUGUGUGGAUCGGCCGCGAUGCAGAUCCAGAGGAUGGACUUGGUUCCCAGGCCAACCUCCCAGCGCAUUGGCGAUGCCCUAGCUCGCUGUACGGGAAGCCGCUGACGCCCAAGGAGUUGACCGCAAGACGCAGUUGCUAGCUAUCUUGGCUUCAGAUCUAUUUUUGUUCCUUCUUGGCGCCGUGAAGUCUGUGCUCGCCGCCGUUGGAUACGCUUGGCUUUUUUCGCCGGCUGACAAACUCGCCGGGAUUCAAACGAUGGCCGGUUGCGUAAGAGAAAUUCACGAGGGAAAGAUGAGCAAUCACUGCAGAUCUUGCGCCUUGGUACCUCGACUCGUCGGCUCGAAAUUCACGUGAUUGUAACAGGAGGUACCAUCCAUCUCCGGCCAUUGGAUGAACCAUAAUAGACGGUCAGCUAAAUUUCCAAGUACAUUAGAAC
rnacentral:lncRNA from 1 species